UACGUAGGGUGCAAGCGUUAAUCGGAAUUACUGGGCGUAAAGCGUGCGCAGGCGGUUUUGUAAGUCUGACGUGAAAUCCCUGGGCUCAACCUGGGAAUUGCGUUGGAGACUGCAAGGCUAGAAUCUGGCAGAGGGGGGUAGAAUUCCACGUGUAGCAGUGAAAUGCGUAGAGAUGUGGAGGAACACCGAUGGCGAAGGCAGCCCCCUGGGUCAAGAUUGACGCUCAUGCACGAAAGCGUGGGGAGCAAACAGG
rnacentral:rRNA from 1 species